rnacentral:rRNA from 1 species
UUCGGGUCAGCGGCGGACGGGUGAGGAACACGUGAGUGAUCGGGCUGUGAGUGGGGGAUAUCGGGCCGAAAGGCGCGGCAAUCCCGCAUACGUUCCGGGAAACCGGAAGAAAGCUUGGCAACAGGCGCUCACAGGGGAGCUCGCGGCCCAUUAGCUAGUUGGGGGGGUAAUGGCCUCCCAAGGCGACGAUGGGUAGCCGGCCUGAGAGGGUGAACGGCCACACUGGGACUGAGACACGGCCCAGACUCCUACGGGAGGCAGCAGUAGGGAAUCUUCCACAAUGGGCGCAAGCCUGAUGGAGCAACGCCGCGUGAGUGAAGACGGCCUUCGGGUUGUAAAGCUCUGUCUGUCGGGACGAAGACCGGCCCGGAAGGGCCGGGGAGCCGGUACCGACGGAGGAAGCCCCUGCAAACUACGUGCCAGCAGCCGCGGUAAGACGUAGGGGGCAAGCGUUGUCCGGAAUUACUGGGCGUAAAGGGCGUGUAGGCGGUGCGAUACGUAGCGGUUUUAAGCCUCCGGCUCACCCGGAGGAGGGCGGCUAAACGGUCGCGCUAGAGGGCAGGAGAGGUGCGUGGAAUUCCUGGUGGAGCGGUGAAAUGCGUAGAGAUCAGGAAGAACACCCGUGGCGAAGGCGGCGCACUGGCCUGGCCCUGACGCUGAGGCGCGACAGCGUGGGGAGCGAACGGGAUUAGAUACCCCGGUAGUCCACGCCGUAAACGAUGGGUACUAGGUGUCGCCCGGGUCCACCGGGCGGUGCCGGAGCUAACGCACUAAGUACCCCGCCUGGGGAGUACGGCCGCAAGGUUGAAACUCAAAGGAAUUGACGGGGGCCCGCACAAGCAGUGGAGCAUGUGGUUUAAUUCGACGCAACGCGCAGAACCUUACCAGGACUGGACACGCUCGUGAGCGCCGCGAAAGCGGCGGGCCCUUCGGGGAGCGAGCGCAGGUGCUGCAUGGUUGUCGUCAGCUCGUGUCGUGAGAUGUUGGGUUAAGUCCCGCAACGAGCGCAACCCUUGUCGUGUGUUGCCAGCGGUUCGGCCGGGCACUCACACGAGACUGCCGGUGACAAACCGGAGGAAGGUGGGGAUGACGUCAAAUCCGCAUGGCCUUGAUGUUCUGGGCUACACACGUGCUACAAUGGUCCCGACAACGGGAUGCGACGGCGCGAGCCGGAGCCAAUCCUUCAAACGGGAUCUCAGUUCGGAUUGCAGGCUGC